UAUAUGGAAAUGUCACAAUGUCAUUCAUUACUUUGUAUGUAAAUCUUAAAAAAAUCUCAAGGUCCAAAUCAGGAGCAGAAGGAGAGAGAGCACGAGCAAGGAACUCAGGACCGUGAGGGGGACACCCACACACUGAGACAAUGGGGAUGUUCUAUCGGGAACUCACCAAGGCCAGCUGGCCUGGGUCUGAAAAAGCCUGGGUUAAAACCGGUCUCACUGAACAUGGCAGACAAUGAGGACUACUGAGAACUCAAGAACAAUGGCAAUGGGUUUUGAUCCUACUGCACGUACUGGCUUUGUGGGAGCCUAGGCAGUCUGGAUGCUCACCUUACUAGACCUGGAUGGAGUGUGACCCCUUAGAAGUCCUGACCGGAACUGAUGCUCCACCCCCUCGCAACCGUUGCUUGCACUGUUGGUGCUUCUCACGGCUCCGGGGAAAGCCCUCCUUCCACUCUCCCUUCUCCCCUUGCUGAUGUUGGAGGCAGCCCCGAGCCAGCUUUCCCUUGUGUGAAUUAAUGAAGGCCGCAGCCUGCUACCCCACCCUCUCUCAGAGAAAGGCUAAGAUCCACACGGAAAGUGGGCCAUCAUCACCUAGCCCUUUGGAACAUUGUACAACAGCAGAAUCUGGAGUAACUCUGGACCUUCGCAGACAGGCAAAGGAGGAAGGCCACAGUCUUCAAAGUCACCCUCAGCUCCAUCUGCAUGAGGCAGGAGCAAGCAAGCUUUUCGGACAGACAGUCAGCGGGUCUAUUCUAGUUUCUAAACUUGGGAGAAUAUCAUUGGGAGGAUGUUUUCCUGGAAUCAGCACUGGGACUCAAAAUAUUUAUGAUCACCUAUGGAUUAGAA